rnacentral:rRNA from 1 species
UUCUGGCUCAGAUUGAACGCUGGCGGCGUGCCUAACACAUGCAAGUCGAACGAAGCACUGCGGAUGGAGAUUCGUCAAAAUCUGCUUUGACUUAGUGGCGGACGGGUGAGUAAUGUGUGAGCAACCUGCCUUUCAGAGGGGGACAACAGUUGGAAACGACUGCUAAUACCGCAUAAUGUAUUGGAAGGGCAUCCUUUUGAUACCAAAGGAGCAAUCCGCUGAAAGAUGGGCUCACAUCUGAUUAGCUAGUUGGUGGGGUAACGGCCUACCAAGGCUGCGAUCAGUAGCCGGACUGAGAGGUUGAACGGCCACAUUGGGACUGAGAUACGGCCCAGACUCCUACGGGAGGCAGCAGUGGGGAAUAUUGGGCAAUGGGCGAAAAAGCCUGACCCAGCAACGCCGCGUGAAGGAAGAAGGUCUUCGGAUUGUAAACUUCUUUUAUGAGGGACGAAGGACGUGACGGUACCUCAUGAAUAAGCCACGGCUAACUACGUGCCAGCCGCGGC